rnacentral:lncRNA from 1 species
AAGAGCUCCAAAUUAGUCUAAUGAGUACAGCUCAACAAUCUCAGAAAAGCUUUAUCCUCUUCAAGUUUCUCAUUCACGGUAAAAACAUAAGUAAAGAGUAGCAUUACUUUUACAGCAAAGCACCCCUUUAUCGUAUGUAUACAUAGUAACAUUCUGAGGAAAAUGGAUCGGGUCCUGCUUUGCUUCCAUUUCGGAAAUGAGUGAAGCUUUGUACUGAAGCCCUCUGGACAGCUUUAGGCUCUCCUACCACACGGAAACUGGUAAGCAAAAGAAUAUAUAACCAAGUACUGAGUAGCAUCUAAUUUGCACUCCCUUUCUUAGUUUUGAUUGCAUUGACGUCUCUCAUUGUCUCAAUGCUUCCACAUGCAGCAAGGAUGAGAUCCAAUUAUUAAACCAAACACAGCUCUUAAUUGGAAAACAACUCGACUAUGUAGUUCCAAGCAUAUUCAGGAAUUGACAGAGAUAACAUCAAUAUACAAGUUGUUUUCUACCUGAAAAAGUAUACGGAUAUCUUCCACAAAAUAGUAAUUGGACCACGGCUUAUUAAUAAUGCAGUAAGCAGUAGACAAGUACCAUUCGCAGCUGUAAAAAAUAAAUAACAUCAAACAACAUGUGGUCUACAAACUAUACAAUCAUACAUGCAUAAAUAAAAUAUCAAGCACUAACACAAUCACGCAUACUUACCCAAGGAGAAGUUUAAUCGGCACCGAAUGUCUCCAAACGGACGAAGUAGAUGCUAUGAUACGCCAUCGUGAUCCACUACUCACCGCACUCCUCCGUGACCACUGCCCCCACCGCAAUCCUCUGUGGCACCCGUCACCCAGUGACUGUGCUUGCACAACUGUGCUUUGGUAUAUGCAAGUCUUCUCUUUCAAGAAUUGUUUGCAAUGAUUUUUACCAUAUUGACUUUAGGUGGUAAUGUCGAGCAUUUACAUUUUGGGAUGACAUUCUAAUAAACUUGAUUGUCUCAUGAAGAGGAAGAAAGGAGGAAGGUGCAGUUGUGAGACCAAUCAAAAUGGAGUGUGCUGAUAGAGAGAUGCUAAAGAAAGCAGAACCAAGGGGUGGAUCAAGAUAAAGAGGGAGAUAUCUGCCAAUAUACCAAAGAAGAGAUGGUGACUGGUACAAUAUUCUUUUGCAUAUACUACCUCCGUUCCAUAAUUCUUGUCGAAAUAUUACAUGUAUCUAGACGCUUUUUAGGAACAGAUACAUCCAAUUUUGGGCAAAUUUGAGACAAGAAUUAUGGAACGGAGGGAGUACUUUUUUCCAUAGCAACGCACAGGUUACUUACUAACUAUGGGUACCAGCUGCCUCUUUUAUUUGCAGUUCAUUCUGUACAUCUCAUCCAUUAUUUUCUAUUCCUGAAAGUUUAGUGUUGAGGCAGGAAAGGUGAAAUACUUCUUGGAAUGCCAGCUUCUGAAGGUGUAUCUGAUGUUGAGUUGUUGACAAGAAUAAAUGUAAUCGGUAAGGGUAUCAAUAAAGCCAGUGAGAUGCGCAUGAACUGUUAAUUAAAAAAUCUAUCUGUUAUUUCCAUUUAUAUACUUGAGAGCAAAUGACUGAUUUGAUGAACAUUGUGAGAAUUCAUUCUUAGUCUCUUUUUUAUUAAGACUAAACUUUUUCACUCUAACAAUGAUCUCAUCUCUAGAUGUCUGCUUCGUGCUUGCAAGAGCAAGGCAAUAAAUUUUUCUUCUCGCGUAUAUUUACCUGGCAUAAUUUGGAGCUUACAUUUUACAUGGUAUUACAGUUUACUAAGGUAUUGUGUAUUUGUUUAGUCAUUAAAAAAUUUGUACUUUUGGUAACAGUUAAUCCCAGCUUCUUCAAUUUUUUAUUUUUUACUGUGACAAAUAUGGAAUUUAUGGCUUGAUAGCACACAAAAACAUGACUUGUUGGAAAGUAAACAUACCUUCUACUGAACCGUCGGUUCAUGGUAGCGACUUUGUUCAUCUCGUACAGAUGACAAUGACGAGAGGCACAAACUCGAGAAGGACCUUGGCAUCGAUGAUGAGGUGGGGCAGUCGAGGAACAACGAGGUGGGGAAGACGAACUCAGCGCUUGCCUUGAUGAAUAAGAAGUUCAGGAUGAUCCACAGGCUAUUGUCGCUGGCCAACGUCAUGCCGUUCGGCAGAGUGACCAUGCACUCCUUGUACCUCACCAGCAAGAUCGACCUGCGA